rnacentral:rRNA from 1 species
GACGAACCGUGCAAACGUUAUUCGGAUUCACUGGGCUUAAAGGGCGCGUAGGCGGGUGAUCAAGUCAGGGGUGAAAUCCUCCAGCUUAACUGGAGCAGUGCCUUUGAUACUGGUCGUCUUGAGGGAGGUAGGGGCAUGUGGAACUUCCGGUGGAGCGGUGAAAUGCGUAGAUAUCGGAAGGAACGCCGGUGGCGAAAGCGACGUGCUGGAUCUCUUCUGACGCUGAGGUGCGAAAGCGUGGGGAGCAAACAGG